CUAGCUACACAAAAAGAGACAAAAAAACCUACUGACGACUAGCCAAAUAAGCAAUAGCAAAUGAUGCAUUUUCAAUCUAGCUUCAAGUACUCAAAUAUCUAUUUAUCAUCUAUUACGAGGAGAACUAGAAAAAAGAAAUUGUUUUAAAGUCAAAUAUGAGAUAACUCCGUGUAACAUAACUCUUAUCACUCUGACUUCUAUCGCAAAUUACUCUCUAGUUCUAUUUUUAGUUUCGUAAAUAAUCUACAUUUACUACUCUAUGCAUGUAUCCAAACAUAUAGUGUGAUAGGUGUUAAAAAACACUAGAAACUAAACAAGCCCUAAUAGAAAAUAGGUACUGCUAAAAGGUUAUAGGAACAGAAGGUAGUACAGCUAGGGAGUUUUGGUAAAGAGAAAUAUUACAAAAAUAAAUAGUUUUAUUUUGCUUGAAUUUAGGACAAUAUCAAAAGGUGUCACAGAUGUGUCAUUAAGCCUACGCGAGAUUAAUAAGUACUAAAAAGGUAGCAAUAAAAUGAAAAAAAUCAGACCAAACAAAAAAGAAGAAAAAUGCUUUUUUAGUUCCCAGAAAAUUUUGUAAAAUUUUUCACAUUCCCCGUCAAAUUGAAUCUUUAGACGCAUGCAUGGAGUAUUAAAUAUAGACGAAAAUAAAAAAUAAUUGCACAGUUUGGUCGGAAUUGACGAGACGAAUCUUUUGAUCCUAGUUAGUCUAUGAUUGGACAAUAUUGGUCAAAUACAAACGAAAGUGAUACACUGUCGUUUUCUCAAAAAUUUUCGGAACUUAACAAGGCCCAAAUUUUGCGGUACAUGCAUGGAGCAUUAAAUAUAGAUAAAAAAGAUAACUAAUUUCACAAUUUACCUGUAAUUUACGAGACAAAUCUUUUAAGCCUAGUUAGUCCAUCAUUAGACAAUAUUUGUCAAAUAAAAACAAAAAUACUACAAUAGCAAAACCCAAAAAAUUUCGCGAACUAAACAAGGCCUUAGACUUCAGACUGCUAUACAUGCUCGUACUCAACCAAGUCCUGCCAUAUCCAUAUUUUGCAACCAUUCUCCCCAAAAAAUGAACAUUAUCGAGAGUAUUGAGCUGGCAAAACUUUGAAUGAGUUUUUAGAAGAGCUAGAUAAUACGUACAGAAUAUAUAAAAAUGGUAAAUCAACUAGUCCAAAUAAAUAUUUCUAUUAUAGUUUGAGCCGCUGAGAUUUUGUUAAAAAAGUAUGUACUUUUAAAUGUAAAACAACAUGAAGAAAGACAUUCUUAAUAAGUGGUUCGUAGAACAUACAUGAAGAAAGUGGCAAAUAUUUACUAGUGACCGGUUUUAUUUAUCUAAAAACAAUUAAAGUGACAAAAAUAUUAUGAAUGGUCAUGAAACUUGCUGAGCCA
rnacentral:lncRNA from 1 species